rnacentral:rRNA from 1 species
AGUGAACGCUGGCGGUAGGCCUAACACAUGCAAGUCGAACGGCAGCACAGUAAGAGCUUGCUCUUACGGGUGGCGAGUGGCGGACGGGUGAGGAAUACAUCGGAAUCUACUUUUUCGUGGGGGAUAACGUAGGGAAACUUACGCUAAUACCGCAUACGACCUACGGGUGAAAGCAGGGGAUCUUCGGACCUUGCGCGAUUGAAUGAGCCGAUGUCGGAUUAGCUAGUUGGCGGGGUAAAGGCCCACCAAGGCGACGAUCCGUAGCUGGUCUGAGGGGAUGAUCAGCACCACGGGAGCGAGGACACGGUCCAGAAUCCGACGGGAGGCAGCGGGGGGGAAUAUAGGACAAGGGGCGCAAGCCUGAUCCAGCCAUACCGCGUGGGUGAAGAAGGCCUUCGGGUUGUAAAGCCCUUUUGUUGGGAAAGAAAAGCAGCAGGUUAAUACCCCGCUGUUCUGACGGUACCCAAAGAAUAAGCACCGGCUAACUUCGU